rnacentral:lncRNA from 10 species
ACUUCUAGGCUUGGUUGAACCGUGCAGAUACCUUCUCGAAACAAAAGAUUUUCCUACCUGCUUAUACUUGGUAACCGAGGGAAUUUCUAAGACUUCUUGCUCAUUUCUGAGUAUUGUCUUUAUAUCCUGACACUAUGAAUGCUACUUGGAUGCCUCUUAAGGGUCUCUUCUGCAGGGUCCCCAUGAAUUGUGGCUGAAGUUGUGCACAAACAAGUAUCUCCAGUGACAGGAGUGCCUUCUGAGGCAGCCAUUGCAUCUUCAUCUGCUGACACUCUGCUAGGCUGACUUCUGUAGUUUUCACCACUGAUCUUCAGUCCACCUCACAGAGCUCUAUAAAACGCUUAAAUCCUCUUUACAUCAUAGACUUUCAGCUACUUGAAGAUAGCCAUCAGCCGCUACGUGACUCUUUUCUCCAGACAGGUUCUCACUCUGUCACCUAAGCUGGAGUGCAGUGGCACCAUCUCAGCUCACUGCAACUGCUGCCUCCCGGGUUCAAGCAAUUCUUUUACCUCAGCCCCCCCAGUAGCUGGGAUCACA